CCCUUAGAUGUCCUGGGCCGCACGCGCGCUACACUGAGUGUCUGAGAUACGAGUCUGCCUGGUCCGGCAAGGUCUAGGUAAUCGCUAAAAGACACAUCAUGCUUGGGAUAGAUUAUUGCAAAUAUUAAUCUUGAACGAGGAAUUCCUAGUAAGCGCAAGUCAACAGCUUGCGUUGAUUACGUCCCUGCCCUUUGUACACACCGCCCGUCGCUCCUACCGAUUGGAUGAUCCGGUGAGCUAUUCGGACUUUCGCAUUGUCGAUUUUCGGCUUUACGAGGGAAAGUCUCGCGAACCUUAUCAUCUAGAGGAAGGAGAAGUCGUAACA
rnacentral:rRNA from 1 species